UACGGAGGGGGCUAGCGUUGCCCGGAAUUACUGGGCGUAAAGCGCACGUAGGCGGCUUUGUAAGUUAGAGGUGAAAGACUGGAGCUCAACUCCAGAAUUGCCUUUAAGACUGCAUCGCUUGAAUCCAGGAGAGGUGAGUGGAAUUCCGAGUGUAGAGGUGAAAUUCGUAGAUAUUCGGAAGAACACCAGUGGCGAAGGCGGGUCACUGGACUGGUAUUGACGCUGAGGUGCGAAAGCGUGGGGAGCAAACAGG
rnacentral:rRNA from 1 species